CCGCUGUGGGUUUGCUUUUCGGUUUUCCUCUAUAUAAGCUGACUUACCUCUUUGUUGUUUCACUUGUUUCGUUCUUCCUGAGCUUGUUUGGAUUUUUUUUCUUUUGCAGGGUUUGAUUUUGAUUCUCUGUUUCAUUUCAAGGUUUGAACUUGUUUCUUGUUUUAUUUGUUAUUCUAUUGUGUAUAUUGUUUCUUUUUCUUCUAACAAUGGAGUUAUUUUGGGAACUGUAUAAAGGUAUGUAUGCAUUUUCAUUGAUUUAAAUCAAAAUUUGAUUCAACCCUUUGUUUAGUUACAUGUUGUAUUGUAUUUUAUAUUUGUGAACUCAAGGUGUUUGUGUUUUUGUCACAGUACAUGACUUGGAAGAGUUAUCGCAAGUGAGUCUUUAGUUUUAUAUAUUUAAUUUAUGUGUUUUUACUUUUGUGUUAUAUUAUUGUUUUGAUUGUUGUUUUCAAAUUUUUAGGUUUAUACUCUAUAGAGUUNNNNNNNNNNNNNNNGUAUUAUGAUGAUUAGUUUUAGCUUGAUGCAUAUUCACAUGCCUCUUGUGACCUUAAAUCUGGUUCCAAAAGAGGAUUAUUUUUUUAGGUUACCAAGCUCUGGUCUUGUUUAUUUCAAAGUUAGAAUUAUGAUUUCUGGAGACGAGAUAUUGAACAACGAACGAGC
rnacentral:lncRNA from 1 species